GCCUACGACCAUAUCACCCUGAAUGCGCCCGAUCUCGUCUGAUCUCGGAAGCUAAGCAUGGUCGAGCCUGGUGAGUACUUGGAUGGGAGACUGCCUGGGAAUACCAGGUGUUGUAGGAU
rnacentral:rRNA from 1 species